GAUGUUGGCUUAGAAGCAGCCAUCAUUUAAAGAAAGCGUAAUAGCUCACUGGUCGAGUCGGCCUGCGCGGAAGAUGUAACGGGGCUAAACCAUGCACCGAAGCUGCGGCAGCGACACUAUGUGUUGUUGGGUAGGGGAGCGUUCUGUAAGCCUGCGAAGGUGUGCUGUGAGGCAUGCUGGAGGUAUCAGAAGUGCGAAUGCUGACAUAAGUAACGAUAAAGCGGGUGAAAAGCCCGCUCGCCGGAAGACCAAGGGUUCCUGUCCAACGUUAAUCGGGGCAGGGUGAGUCGACCCCUAAGGCGAGGCCGAAAGGCGUAGUCGAUGGGAAACAGGUUAAUAUUCCUGUACUUGGUGUUACUGCGAAGGGGGGACGGAGAAGGCUAUGUUAGCCGGGCGACGGUUGUCCCGGUUUAAGCAUGUAGGCUG
rnacentral:rRNA from 1 species